rnacentral:rRNA from 1 species
UUUGCAUAUCCCAAAAGCGGAGGAAAAGAAACCAACAGGGAUUGCCUCAGUAACGGCGAGUGAAGCGGCAACAGCUCAAAUUUGAAAUCUGGCCUCUUGGGGUCCGAGUUGUAAUUUGUAGAGGAUGUUUCGGGUACCGCCUCGGUUUAAAUUUCUUGGAACAGAAUGUCAAAGAGGGUGAGAAUCCCGUCUUGGACCGGCGGUAGGGCCUAUGUGAAACUCCUUCGACGAGUCGAGUUGUUUGGGAAUGCAGCUCAAAAUGGGUGGUAAAUUUCAUCUAAAGCUAAAUAUUGGCCAGAGACCGAUAGCGCACAAGUAGAGUGAUCGAAAGAUGAAAAGCACUUUGAAAAGAGAGUUAAACAGUAUGUGAAAUUGUUGAAAGGGAAGCGCUUGCAACCAGACUUGAGCGCGGCGGUUCCCCCUUGCUUCUGCUUGGGUUACUCCGCCGUGUCCAGGCCAACAUCGGUUCUGGGGGUCGGUCAAAGGCUCUGGGAAUGUAUCUACCCACGGGUAGACUUAUAGACCAGGGUGUCAUGCGACCUCCCGGGACCGAGGAACGCGCUUCGGCUCGGAUGUUGGCGUAAUGGUUGUCAGCGACCCGUCUUGAAACACACGGACCAAA